UUACUCUAUCUCAAGCAUUUUGUGUCUAUCUUCGGUGUAAACCAGCGUCUGCAGUUCCUCCUUGCGUAUAUUUUUUUUAAAGGUUUUUUUUUUCUUUGCCGGCAGUUUUGUUAUUGAGUUACUGAAGGCAAUCGUGGCGUUAAAAGCCAUUGAGGUUAGUGAGGUGUCGUAAACAAGCAAAGCAAAUGCUUUUUUUUUGCACUUUCUGACUGGUCUCAGCAGCAGCGUUUUCACCCUGAACAAUCCCUCUGUUAAAAGCUUGCACAAAAGCGCACACAUUGUUUGUGCCAAAUGCUGCAGUUAAUAAUUUCACUUAGCGUUGGUCUGAAGUUGCUCACCGCAGCUUGAGUUAUAAAGGCGCAGACCUUGCCAGCUGUGUGUAAAUGGUUAUAUUACUUUGAUUCCAGGUGGAUUAUUAUUUUUUUUGCGUGAAUUUUCUUUCAAUUUUUGAACAUUUCACUUGUUUUUACGCGGUAGAUUAUAUAUGUAUAUGCUCACGAUAAAAUCAAAGGAUGCAAAUUCACUGCUGCUGUGCAUUCCCGAUCCAUUCUAAAGAGGAAGAGUUACAGUGGUUCUGUCUGCUUUUGGAUGUUCGAUUAUUGACGUACGCCAUUGAUCGCAUAAACGUGUGGUUCUGUUUGAGAAUCUUGAUUUACGGUCCUUGUAUGAGAGCAAGUCGGGAGCGAAGGUAGCUAACCAUCUCUGUUGCGAUGAAAAAUCAUGAGAUGAGAAGUGGGAUGUUUGUUUUUGUUUACGGGACACAUUUGUAAUGCUCUUAAAAUCGGGAGACUAUUCCCUUAGGCAAACUCGUGUGGCGAAAUGCUGGACAAUGAGACUGAUGCUUCGGCCGGCACGCUGAGACAGGACGGAUGCAGAACGCUGGAGUACCUCAGCGGGACGGGCAGCAUCUCUGGCGAGAAGGAAUGGGCGACGCCUCGGGUCGAGGCCCUACUUCAGACUGAGAGUCGGGGGGGAGUGGGUUGUCCGGAGAGAUGGAAAGGUUAGGUGUGCAAAUGAGUGAACAAAGCAGGCGAUGCUAAGGAAAAAGUAGACGGGAUCAAUGUUGGCUGAGGGGAAGGUGACGAGGGGGCAUGCAAUCAGUAAAAUUAAACAGGGGGACAGUGCAACUGGUCGGAGAACUGGGAUAGAAAAUUGUCGGGAUCAAUGGAGAGG